AUCAACGUGAGUACUUUUUUAAUAUAAUAUUAAUUCUCUUUUUAGCUACCCGCCAAAUUCAGUGCGUACACGGUGUAUUAUUAUAUUGUAAUUAUACUUCAAAUAUUUGAUUUGUUCUUUUAUUUUUAAUUUAACAUUCUGAUAACGAAUGACAAUUUUAUUAUUUUAUUUAUUGGAGGAAGAUGGAAAGUGAAAGAAAAUUGUCAAAACUUAUUAUUAUUUAUUUUUUUGAGGAAAAUGGACAAUGGAGAAAAACGGUAUCUCGUUUUUUGAGAAAAAUGGCUGUGGCCAAUGGAUGUGUUAAAUUUGAAUGCAUUAAUAACUCAACAGCUAUACAACAGAAGAGUAUAAUUUAAAUUAAAUUAAAAACACAUAGAAUUUAUAUAAUAAAGCCAGAAUCCAAAAUAAACUUAAUAGAUAAUAGAUUUAAUAGUGAAGAUGUAAUUAGUAUUGAGAAUGCAGUGGAGAUUAACUGGACAAUUGAAAAACCUAAGAGAAUUAAUUAAAGCUAGACGUUCGGAUAUCAGACCAGAGCAGUCAAAUAAUACAUGAGAUAGAUCACAAAUACACUCAUUCCGAUGCAGUGUGUAGAAAGGAGAAUCAUUUAAAUAAUAGGUGGUGAAACAAGUGGUUAAUGUUUUAAUGACCUGAAAAUAAAUCAUGUACAGAAAAUGCCAAUUUAAACAACUGGGGUAUAUUUCAAGUUUCUACGACAAGUAAUUUUUAACUAUAACAAAAUUUUACAAUUAUUGGAUUGUAAAUAAUCGUUAUUUUAUACGUGAAUAUUUGACUUCGUUAAAAUUUAAACUUAAGAUAAAAAC